rnacentral:rRNA from 1 species
AACGAACGCUGGCGGCAGGCCUAACACAUGCAAGUCGAACGCCGUAGCAAUACGGAGUGGCAGACGGGUGAGUAACACGUGGGAACGUACCCUUCGGUUCGGAAUAACUCAGGGAAACUUGAGCUAAUACCGGAUACGUCCGAGAGGAGAAAGAUUUAUCGCCGAGGGAUCGGCCCGCGUCUGAUUAGCUUGUUGGUGAGGUAACGGCUCACCAAGGCGACGAUCAGUAGCUGGUCGAGAGGAUGAUCAGCCACAUUGGGACUGAGACACGGCCCAAACUCCUACGGGAGGCAGCAGUGGGGAAUAUUGGACAAUGGGCGCAAGCCUGAUCCAGCCAUGCCGCGUGAGUGAUGAAGGCCCUAGGGUUGUAAAGCUCUUUUAACCCGGGAAGAUAAUGACUGUACCGGGAGAAUAA